rnacentral:snRNA from 1 species
GGGUACAAAGGUGAUCUGGCUGCAAUGCCUAUCACCCAUUCAUCCCCAGAGUUGGUUCAUCAGAAUUGGGCAGGCAUUCUCUUUCUCUCUAACCACUUCAUGUUUGUCCCUUAGACUUUCCAGAGAAAGAUAAAGGUCAAGAGUACAUAUAGUAGUUACUUUUCUACUGCUGGGAUAAAACCUGAUGGCCAAAGCAACUUAUAGAAGAUCGAGUUUAUUUGGACUUGUGUUCUCU